rnacentral:rRNA from 1 species
AUACGAAGGGGGCUAGCGUUGUUCGGAAUAACUGGGCGUAAAGCGCACGUAGGCGGAAUGUUAAGUUAGAGGUGAAAUCCCAGGGCUCAACCCUGGAACUGCCUUUAAUACUGGCAAUCUAGAGAUCGAGAGAGGUGAGUGGAAUUCCGAGUGUAGAGGUGGAAUUCGUAGAUAUUCGGAGGAACACCAGUGGCGAAGGCGGCUCACUGGCUCGAUACUGACGCUGAGGUGCGAAAGCGUGGGGAGCAAACAGGAUUAGAAACCCUAGUAGUCC